UUUGGUCCGGUCUGGCAAAUAGAGUUUAAAGUUAGGUAUUAGAGUUUAAAAGUUGUUGUUCGAGUUUUAAUUUUUUGUUCAGCAUAUUUGACCACUAUUUUGAUAACUUUUUUUUUAUAAAUGUGUUUAUAAUAAUUAACUGAUGGCUGAAAGCUCAUCGUCGUAGACAUUUUAAUACAUUUUUUUUGGACUCCCUUUCGGAAAUCCGUGGUAAGAUAAAUUGCCUCUGAGCUGCUCUCGCACAGAGCCAUUUUCACAACAAGUUCCAAAAUAAUUUAAAUAAUAAAUCAUUUUACUUUUACGAAAAAUAUCAUUUUAAUGUAAAAGCGCCAAAAAUAAAUAGUGAAAAUUACGGGGUGUUACAACACGUGUGUAUGGUGAGUAAGGUGCGCAUAUACAUGGCUAACAAGCCAAAUGUACAUAUAAAUUUGUAAUAACAUGUAAGUUUUUUGUCCAUCUCUCUUUUUUUUCUCUCUAAAACUCUAGCCUCCCCUACCCUUUCUUCAUCAAUUGGAGGCUGCCAUCGAUGAUUUCAUUCAUGAUAAGCCCCUUUUCUCCUUUUUUUUUUUCAGUUUUUAGUUUAUUUUCUUGUUUUGUUGAAUAAAUUAGUAUCUCUUUAUGAGAUUUCUUCAAAUCCUGCUAUGGGAUUUUUAGUCAGUGUUGUGGAAAUCUCCUUUUUCCCUAUAGAAGUUGUGAUUGUGGUUUUUUUGUUUUUAGUUAUGAGAAAUUGUUCGUAUUGGUUGAACUUCGAAACUCAACAUGAAGAUAUUGUAAUCUCGGAUUCGUUUAACAUAGCUCGAUCAAGAAUGUUUUUUCCAAACUAUGUCAGAAUGAUAGACUUCAUUAUCAAUAGCUGCUUGAUUCAGCAAAUACAAGAGGGAUGCGUUGUAUUACUCGAUCUGGUUCAUUAGAGUUUAUUCGAAGACGAAUUUGAUGUAUUUUUUUUUAAUAUCUAUUGUAGAUAUUGUUUGGCCUUCAAUUAAUGAAAUUUUUCUUCGAAAAAAAGAAGAGGCCAAAUGUACAUGAAUAAUCAGUCGAAUGAAAACAAGUACAUAACUAACAAGCCAAAUGAAUAUACAUCUCUAUAAUAUAUGUUCAUUGGUGUUGAUCUUUAUAUUUAUAACUUAGUGCUUGAUGUUCAUCGUCCAUACAUUCCUCACCAUACGGACAUGUGCACCUAUUAAUUUGCAUAUUGCUCUAAUAUGAACCACCCUAUAAUUAUUGUAUUUAAUAGUUUAUAUAAUUACUCUCCCAAAAACUUGAUAGUUUAUAUAAUUAAGUUUUUGGGUCAGUAAUUCACUACUGUACUUGAUAGGUUUAUAUAAUUACUCUCCCAAAAACUUGGAAGCUGAUAAAUCAAAGACAUGGAGCAUUCUUGAAGGAUUUCAUCGCCGGAAAUUCUGGCCAUUGCAGUGGCAAAAGGAAAUAUCUGAAGUACUGGAAAUUCUCAACUUCACUGUGAUCAAGUCCAAGAACUCCAUUGGAUUCAAACGAAUCAUUUGCUCUGUACUGCUGUUUUUAUUGAUUAAGGUAUCAGUUAGGAGGAGUGGGAUGGGUCAACAAUCCGACCCAUGCAUGUCCUGGAAUCCAGAUUUAGCAUGGCUUAAUGUAUUGCUGGGUAGAAGUUGCUUGAUAGUUGAUGCAGCUUCACAAAAAAAAAGUAACAUACAACUUUGUUUGAUUUUAGAUACACGUUCUGUAUAUGAUGAGCUUUAGCUGGCAAUAUUGGUCUUAGACUCUUAUUGACACUUUUAUCUGCCUGUUUAUAAUGGUGCAAGACAUGCUUCUUUCCCUUUCAAUACUAACCAGCAUAGAACUUCUGCAUGUCUCUGAGACUCUGAUUGACAACAGCGGGAGAGGAAUAGGUGAAUAAGGCUUGUGAUUAGCAUCUACAAUGGCCGAUAAUUUACAAGAUCUGAUUCCAGUAUUUUCUUUGUGGUGGACUGUACUUAUUCUGUUCUUUCACUUAUAUGUACAGAUAACAGGUCUUGGCUAAAACUGCAGCUCCAGUGUGGCAGUGUACCAUAGAGGACAUAUAUCAAUUGAUUCUCAUGUUUAUAAAAGGUUUGCCUUGCUCAUACUCUUAAUUGCAGUUAAUGUAUGGAUUAUUCAUUUUUUCACAUGCACCACCUUAGGGGGAUAGAAUUUUUUUUAUUUACAUACUUGAACAGGAAAUGGUUUAUUUUCUUCGGCCCAAAUCAAGUUUAAAGGCCACUUCAGAUGAAAGUCAAUAAACAUAUUUCAUUUGUAGAAGGGAAAUAAUGGCUUGGAAGAGAAGCCCAAUUGGUGGCUGGGUCCACUAUGUAUUGGGCCGUCUUUCAAGUUUGAUGUAAUCAUAAAGUCUAUGCCUCAAAUGUGUCAUCACUUUUCUUGCCUGUUCUUUUGUUUUUUACCAGAUGAAACUCUUAAAAGUCUGUCCAAUGCUCAUUUUUCUGAGUUAAUCUAGUGAACUUUAAGGAAAUGCAUGUCUCGUGUUGUGCUA